GGCUGGCCGUCUCUCAGACCGUGAGGGUAUACGCCGAAAGUAUAAUCAUCGAACCAGCUCGUUGUAGGCUGAAACAGUUUAGAAGAUUCGAGUGUAACAUACAUACAAACAUUACACAACACAUGGUCACUAUUACUUGAUGAGUCAGACGUACAUUGUACUUGCACGAGAGUCGAGAUUCGAUUACGAGGGAAUUACCCAGUAUCAUCACAGGGGUUCGCAACGAGCUAGCCACAGACGAAAAUGAUAAUUUAAACGGAGGCGACCGUCGAACCAAAUACGCCUACACUAACGACGAAGUAAUUAUCCUUAACCCAAAACAGAUGUGGACGUCACUGACGCCUACUACACUGUUCACAAGCGAUUUCUAACCGACGUCAAAAAAUGGAGAUUUGAUUUGCUAUUCAUUCUGAUACCAUGAUCAAUACCCAUCAAGUGUCUGCAAACAUCGCUGUGACGUCAUUGUCGCGAUCGAUGACGUCAUCGAUGACGUCACGCCCACCCGAGAUUGACACGAGAUUUACGUUUUGAUAUUGAACGAGUAUCAAAAUGGAUUAUUCACAGCUGUUUACAUUAAUUUAUUAUGAUUAUGUUUUA